UAGGGGCAUGCGGAAUUGAACCACGGACCUUUAGAUCUGCAGUCGAAUGAUGCUCUACCACUGAGCUAUACCCUC